rnacentral:lncRNA from 1 species
GCUAGUAUCAUAUCCAGUUACUAAAAACAUGAUGAAUCUGUCGAGUGUUCUUUGUAUUUGCACAAUACAAACUGAAGUGUAGACGCCAGUGGCCAAGAUUUUGCUGGGCUGAACUUUCUGAUAUGAUUACUAGAGGAAUUUCACAUUUUCCAUGCUUUUAUUUACAUGGCAGUGGCUAAACCGAAGGCAUGCUCUCCAACUGAGGGCACAACAGGGGAUUCCGGUCUCUGAAUACGGGG